GUUAUAUAUAUCACCUGCCCGAGGGUCACUACCCCAAAGUCAUGUUCCCUAUGAUUUUUAUCUGGUCUAUUAUUUUGGCGAGGGAGGGGUGUUUCCUUUUGUUAUUUGCGAAAGGAAUUCCGUAUUCGUGAACGCUCAUGUUUCUGGUCGCUCAAGUACCUUCUGUAUUUCACUAUUAUGACCAUCUUCCUGGACAAACAUGGAGAUUUCAUUAACAUGUUUCAUUUCUAGACUAGCAAUGAGAUUUUAAGUGUUACCACACCCAACAUCAGUCCUUGGCACGGGCUGCUGGAUACAACUUCUUGUAUUCUCGCUCUUCCAACUGCCUUUUUUGUAGUUUUCCAGGAUUGGAAAUGUACUUCUGUGUAUAACAGCAUGUUUAGUUUUCCAAUAAUAUCUUCUGCAAUAGUGCAUUCAAUAAUUUCCCUGUAAAGUUCCCUUCCUGCAUCUGCUUUAGGUCAUCCACAUUGCAAAAGUGGCUGUGUGGAACAUAAGGCACUGCAUCAAUUUAGUUCACUGCCUUAUAGAAAUGCUACACCUCGGUUGUUCUUGUAUCCAUUUCUGUUACAAAUUGAUACAUUUUGAUCAGAUUAUUUUGGCUACUGUUUCUCCUGUCAUAGUGGUAAUGUAAAAAGCCCACUUGCAAAGGCAGUUUUCUCAGUUUCACGCUCCAACAUUUUUCAUCAAAUGGCCAACUUUUUACUUCAAAAAAACCCCAAAUGGGGGACAUUUCUAUUACAUUUUGUAGAUUUUGUCUUGUGUAUAUAUAUAUGCAUAUAUAUAUAUAUGGCCAUGUUUUUCAGUGAUCUGUGUAGUCAUACUCACAAGUUGGAGUUACUUCAUUCAGGACUUGUAUGACUUUUUUUUUUUCUUGAGCCUUUCAGAUGUGGUGGCCAGUAACAUAUAUAUACUUCUUAAUUUUUAACAGAUACCAUAUUUCCUGUUUUCUUAAAAUUUUCCUGGACUUUGCGAUUUUUGAAGGGAAUUGAAUCUCUUGUUCUCUCACUGCUCUAAGACUCAUACGAUAUAUUGGCACAAUGAGCACUUUUAGGGGUUUUUUGUAGUUCUUUCUAAGCUGUUUAUUGAUAAGUGCUCGAAUUCCUAAUUCUCACUAGAAAAUUUAAGGUAAAACCAAGUUAACAGUCGAUAUAUUAACAUUACUAUCAAAAAUCUAGUUUUUUGUCAGUGCAUCUUGUUUUGUAUAUUUAUAUAAGACAUUGCUUAUUGUUUUGUUUAGUAUCAGUUCAGUCCUUUAUCCCUGCAUUACUUCUUUGCAAAGCCAGUCAAGCGAAGGCAUCUGUGUAUCCCAAAGUGGGAUUAUGACCUCGUUCUGAUUAUGACCUCAUUUUGAUAUUUUUGCUUCUCCCUGAACCCUGCUUUCUUGUUUGCCUCUGCCCUUUCUUCAGCAGGGAUUUGUUCUUCACCACUAAUCUUUUAGAAGUCCCUUAGGAUUUAUAUUGGUUUCUUCUGUUCCUUUUUUUCUCGGAGUAAGUGUAGUCUGUGAGCUUUAAUUAUGGUAUAUUUUAAGAUACCCUAGGAGUGAAUCUUAACAGAGUCUUCCACACAGUUCAGACAGAGAAUGACACAGGUGCAGCACAGGAAGCCCUAAAUGAGUGGCUGAGAUCUGCCGUCAUGUUUUCUGUGAAGUGAUUACUGAGCUCUGAAGAAAGUGUUUGAGGCUGUGCUACUCUUCUCAGAAGAAAAGAGGAUAAAGAAAAUCAUUCUUCUAGAAGAAGAUGUAAUUUGAAAGAUAGCAGGGAAUCUGGGCCUUUUGUGCACAGGCUGUAGCAGGAUAAAGUUCCAUUAAGUAAGGAUGUAAGCCAGUGGAUGUCUGCAACAGAAAAAGAAAAGGAAGACAGAGAGGUUUGGAUUCACACAGACAACUUCUGUGGCUAAGUUGAGGUUUCCAGGUGAAAUCCAACCUGAAGUAAAAUGAAGACAAAAGAGCAAUAUUUAAUUUUCAAACUUUUGGGAAAAGUAUUCUGAUUGUUUUUCUGGGAAAUUCUCUUUAAGAUCUGAUUUAUUUUCCCUUAGAUAGAGCCUUCAGCCUUCUUUAAAAUUCAAAUGGGUGGAAGAGCCGAGAGAAAAAAGAUGUGGCAAGAAAACCUUGUCAUUGCACUUAUGGUCCUGUACCUACUGAACUGAGCAACAGAAAUACUGAAAGGAGUUUGGAGCCCAUAUUUCCCAUCUGACUUUUUUUGCCUGAAGAAAGGCCUGAAGAUUUGUAUCAUGUCUAAGCAAUGGAAAUGAUCUCUGUUUGCAUUGUAUUUGCCCAGUGGAUGCCCAGAGC